rnacentral:rRNA from 1 species
CAGGAUGAACGCUAGCGGCAGGCUUAACACAUGCAAGUCGAGGGGCAGCGGGAUGUAGCAAUACAUUGCCGGCGACCGGCGGAUGGGUGCGUAACGCGUAUGCAACCUACCUUAUACAGGGGAAUAACCUUUCGAAAGGGAGACUAACACCCCAUGGUAUUGAUUUAAGGCAUCUUAGAUUAAUUAAAUAUUUAUAGGUAUAAGAUGGGCAUGCGUAUGAUUAGCUAGUUGGUAAGGUAACGGCUUACCAAGGCGACGAUCAUUAGGGGUUCUGAGAGGAAGGUCCCCCACACUGGUACUGAGACACGGACCAGACUCCUACGGGAGGCAGCAGUGAGGAAUAUUGGUCAAUGGGCGCAAGCCUGAACCAGCCAUGCCGCGUGCAAGGAAGACGGCCUUAUGGGUUGUAAACUGCUUUUACAUAAGACUAACCGUAUAUUUGCGAAUAUACCUGAAUGUAUUAUGAGAAUAAGGAUCGGCUAACUCCGUGCCAGCCGCGGC